rnacentral:rRNA from 1 species
CAACUUUAUUUUGUGAAAAAAGGAGAUGGUGUGGUCGGCGAGUAGGGCGCGUAAGGUUGGGUUAGAAAAGAGGUGGGGCGUGCCGGCCGGCGGGGGUAGAGCACCAGUCUCGCCAAAGCGAAUAAAAGGGGACAACUAAUGGGUUGUUUCGUGGCCUUAGCAAAGGAAGAGUGAAGUCAAAGAGGGGGUGGUAUUUAGAAAGGGGUUAGGAGCACCACACCGCCGACCUGCCGUUAGAGGAGCGCAGUUAAGGCGGCAACAAUGAGGGGAAGCUACGGAGGGACGCGCUACACUGCGCCCGCCUCGACGCCAAGGUAGCGGCGGGUGGCUCUUGUAACUCAACGCGUUGGUUUAGUCCAACACACGUGAGGUAGUGAGACGAGUACUGGGAGGAGCGCGGCCUUCGUCGGUAGGGACGGCGCCGCGAGCUAGACUUUUUAUCAAGCGCAAGGCCGUCCUCCUCGAGCGGUUCCUCUUCGACGACCCUGCCAUCCGUAGGUGCUCCCGGCGGACAAGGAGAAGAUGUUCCGGGGGGUCCUCACCAGUAGGGUGCAAAUCCGGCUGGCGGAGGGGCGGAGGAACGACGUCCAGUAUUCGGAUUGGGCUUGUUCUGGCACUCGUAGAGGAGAGGAAGAGGGAGGGAGAACUAAACGAAAUACUCACGGAACUAAACUACAUCACUACACUGUAGGCAUAGGGGAGAGGAGAGACGACCUCGCCGUUUCCAGUCGGAUGGCCAGCGACGAUGCCCAACUACAAAGAUAGUGAUAACAGAGUCAACCACCUCAUCAUGUAGAUCGUAGUAUCUAAAAGAGAAAUCACCAUCUACACUGUAGUCAGAGCGGUGGGGUGUAGGAUUAGUUCAGGGUCCGGGCUGCUCAGGAUCACACGAAGGCCAUUUAUACACAAGGAGAAGUCACACACAAGGAAGAGGUAGGAAUAUAACGUAAUUGUCUAACUUCAGUUCAGCGUACAUAUAAGCCGCACAAGGUACACCAUCUACGUACAGGCGAUCGUAGUAGCAGUCCAAAGGAACCAACAAAUUACCUAAUUCAAGGUACCAUAUUAUUUUUAGUUAAAGCGAACAUACUGCUCGACGAUAAAAUAGAGUAACACAAAACGGAGUCACAGAGUGGCCUUGUUGAAACAAAUUCAUUUAAGAGAAGAACUGGAAUGUAUAGAGAACUCAUAUAAUAAUGACCUAGUAACUGGUGACAACAACAUGAUAUAUGCUCGAAAUCCAUGCGACUUCCGUACGGGUAACUUGACGGUACGGUAAAAUAAAAGUCAUUGUCACCCAUACAGUACAUGUGUAUGAAAAGACUGAUAGUUUAGUUUGUCUCUAACCCAAAAACUCGAUGUAUAGGCCGAUAGGCGCGGAGUUCGGGAGCGGCUCAACUGUCUACCAAACCUGGAAAGAACUAAUUACGUUGAGGCAAUUUAAAGUCGCAAGGACGAAAGUGUAAAUAACGUUUAUACCUCCCAACAACUAAUAAAGAAGUCCAUAUAUACAAAACGUUCUAAAGUCAGCUCUAGCUCAUAUCGUCAAAGAGACAGUUACUAAAGUUUAUAGUUUUGGAAACGUGGGGCAACCGUGGUGUACAGAAAUAUUGUAAUAGGUAAGUAAUUCAGGUAAAUGUAUAUUUGUACCUUACAAGAGUUUCUAUUAGAGAAAAAAAAAAGUCUCAUAAGAGUUUCUAUUAGAGUUGCGGUGUGUAUGCUAGUAUAUCAAGAACUGAGUUGGUUUACUUCGUUAAAGUAAUCUCAUCUAUAAAAUGAUUUACCGUAAGUACAAUUAGGAAAGUACGUGCAGUCGUAUACAGCAUGGUGGUGGUCUAUCGGUUGUAAAAAAAGAAAGGAAUUACACGUGGAGGGUCAAUCAACUAACCGUUCAAAAUCAAGAGUAUGAUAAUUAAGUUGAUAAGUGUAAAGCACAUUGAUUUAGAGUGACUUGAUACAAUGUUCGUUAAGGUCGUCGUUGCGCGCCCCAUAGUAGAUCAAUGUCUGUUUCACUACCGUAGUGUUAAUCGCAAUCCUUGACGUACACUACCACUUUCAGAUUAUUUUUCUACGCCGUGACGUAAGGAAACCAGUCGCCACAAGUAUAAAAACGUUGAGUAAGAGAACCUGCACUAAUGGUUUAUCGGACAGGACAUGACUAUACCAUAACUAAUACUUGCACUAACUAAGGAAAUAAAAUUAAAUAUCAAACAAUGGUUUAUGAUUGCACUAACUAAGGAAGGAAAACUAACUAACUAAGGAAGGAAGGAAAAUUUGCACUAACCUAAUGGUACUAAACGAUGGUUAAUGGUUUCUACUUUGUAGCCGCCCUCGAGAACUGUUCCUCUAACCUGCUUGUAUUCUUUCCUCUCCCUUGGAAUGCCAAGAAAAUCCAUCAUCUCUAAAGUCUGUAUUUUUAUCUUGCAUUAUUUUAUAUAUUAGCGCAUUUUUUAUAAAAUACAAUGUAUUUUAAUGUUUACAUUUUCGUAUCACAUUUUAUAUGUAUUUUACAUUAAAAAAGAUCAGAAUACUGGAUAUAAAAAAGAAUACAGUUUAAAAUGCGUCAUUUAGUUAAGCAUAAAUUGAUAAAUAUAUUUUCCAGAUAAGUAGUUGCCCCACGUC